ACACGUGGGUAACCUGCCUGUAAGACUGGGAUAACUCCGGGAAACCGGGGCUAAUACCGGAUGCUUGAUUGAACCGCAUGGUUCAAUCAUAAAAGGUGGCUUUUAGCUACCACUUACAGAUGGACCCGCGGCGCAUUAGCUAGUUGGUGAGGUAACGGCUCACCAAGGCGACGAUGCGUAGCCGACCUGAGAGGGUGAUCGGCCACACUGGGACUGARACACGGCCCAGACUCCUACGGGAGGCAGCAGUAGGGAAUCUUCCGCAAUGGACGAAAGUCUGACGGAGCAACGCCGCGUGAGUGAUGAAGGUUUUCGGAUCGUAAAACUCUGUUGUUAGGGAAGAACAAGUACCGUUCGAAUAGGGCGGUACCUUGACGGUACCUAACCAGAAAGCCACGGCUAACUACGUGCCAGCAGCCGCGGUAAUACGUAGGUGGCAAGCGUUGUCCGGAAUUAUUGGGCGUAAAGCGCGCGCAGGCGGUUUCUUAAGUCUGAUGUGAAAGCCCCCGGCUCAACCGGGGAGGGUCAUUGGAAACUGGGGAACUUGAGUGCAGAAGAGGAGAGUGGAAUUCCACGUGUAGCGGUGAAAUGCGUAGAGAUGUGGAGGAACACCAGUGGCGAAGGCGACUCUCUGGUCUGUAACUGACGCUGAGGCGCGAAAGCGUGGGGAGCGAACAGGAUUAGAUACCCUGGUAGUCCACGCCGUAAACGAUGAGUGCUAAGUGUUAGAGGGUUUCCGCCCUUUAGUGCUGCAGCAAACGCAUUAAGCACUCCGCCUGGGGAGUACGGUCGCAAGACUGAAACUCAAAGGAAUUGACGGGGGCCCGCACAAGCGGUGGAGCAUGUGGUUUAAUUCGAAGCAACGCGAAGAACCUUACCAGGUCUUGACAUCCUCUGACAACCCUAGAGAUAGGGCUUCCCCUUCGGGGGCAGAGUGACAGGUGGUGCAUGGUUGUCGUCAGCUCGUGUCGUGAGAUGUUGGGUUAAGUCCCGCAACGAGCGCAACCCUUGAUCUUAGUUGCCAGCAUUCAGUUGGGCACUCUAAGGUGACUGCCGGUGACAAACCGGAGGAAGGUGGGGAUGACGUCAAAUCAUCAUGCCCCUUAUGACCUGGGCUACACACGUGCUACAAUGGGCAGAACAAAGGGCAGCGAAGCCGCGAGGCUAAGCCAAUCCCACAAAUCUGUUCUCAGUUCGGAUCGCAGUCUGCAACUCGACUGCGUGAAGCUGGAAUCGCUAGUAAUCGCGGAUCAGCAUGCCGCGGUGAAUACGUUCCCGGGCCUUGUACACACCGCCCGUCACACCACGAGAGUUUGUAACAC
rnacentral:rRNA from 1 species